UACGUAGGGUGCGAGCGUUAAUCGGAAUUACUGGGCGUAAAGCGUGCGCAGGCGGUUUUGUAAGCCAGAUGUGAAAUCCCCGGGCUCAACCUGGGAAUGGCAUUUGGGACUGCAAGGCUGGAGUGUGGCAGAGGAGACUGGAAUUCCCGGUGUAGCAGUGAAAUGCGUAGAUAUCGGGAGGAAUACCGAUGGCGAAGGCAGGUCUCUGGGACGGUACUGACGCUGAGACGCGAAAGCGUGGGGAGCAAACAGG
rnacentral:rRNA from 1 species